rnacentral:miRNA from 1 species
ACACACACACACACACACACACAUAUAUAUAUAUAUGUAUGAUAUAUAUGUGUGUGUGUGUUUGUGUGUGUUA